CGCUUGCUAGCUCAGCGGGUAGAGCAAUCGACGGUUAAUCGAUGUGUCGCAGGUUCGAAUCCUGCACAAGCUC
rnacentral:tRNA from 1 species